ACCCGCUGAAUUUAAGCAUAUCAAUAAGCGGAGGAAAAGAAACCAACAGGGAUUGCCCCAGUAACGGCGAGUGAAGCGGCAACAGCUCAAAUUUGAAAUCUGGCCCCAGGCCCGAGUUGUAAUUUGCAGAGGAUGCUUUUGGCGCGGUGCCUUCCGAGUUCCCUGGAACGGGACGCCAUAGAGGGUGAGAGCCCCGUACGGUUGGACACCAAGCCUUUGUAAAGCUCCUUCGACGAGUCGAGUAGUUUGGGAAUGCUGCUCUAAAUGGGAGGUACAUUUCUUCUAAAGCUAAAUAUUGGCCAGAGACCGAUAGCGCACAAGUAGAGUGAUCGAAAGAUGAAAAGCACUUUGAAAAGAGGGUUAAACAGCACGUGAAAUUGUUAAAAGGGAAGCGCUUGUGACCAGACUUGCGUCCGGUGAAUCACCCAGCUCUCGCGGCUGGGGCACUUCGCCGGCACAGGCCAGCAUCAGCUUGCCGUCGGGGACAAAAGCUUCAGGAACGUGGCUCCUCUCGGGGAGUGUUAUAGCCUGUUGCAUAAUACCCUUCGGCGGGCUGAGGUACGCGCUCCGCAAGGAUGCUGGCGUAAUGGUCAUCAGCGACCCGUCUUGAAACACGG
rnacentral:rRNA from 1 species